UACAGAGGUUGCAAACGUUGUUCGGAAUUACUGGGCAUAAAGCGCACGUAGGCGGUCCACUAAGUCAGGUGUGAAAUCCCCCGGCUCAACCGGGGAAUUGCGCCUGAUACUGGCGGGCUCGAGAUCGGUAGGGGUGAGCGGAACUCCAGGUGGAGCGGUGAAAUGCGUAGAUAUCUGGAGGAACACCGGUGGCGAAAGCGGCUCACUGGAUCGACACUGACGCUGAGGUGCGAAAGCUAGGGGAGCAAACGGG
rnacentral:rRNA from 1 species